ensembl:ncRNA F42H10.14 ncRNA
UGCACAAAAUUUUCAUCUACAACUUGUUGAAAUGCGCUCUACCGCAAACAUUUUUGUUUCUUUUUUGUGAAUUAAUUUCAUCAUUCCGCUCCGGCUGUGAGGGCUGCGAUUCCAGUAUACUUCGUACUUUUUACUUUGAAACGUUUUCUUUUCUUCAAAUAUGCGGAAAUGCUCCUUUCACUGAUAAACUGAUAACAAUCUCCUGAUAA